rnacentral:rRNA from 1 species
UACAGAGGUGGCAAGCGUUGUUCGGAAUUACUGGGCGUAAAGGGCGCGUAGGCGGCCUUCUAAGUCAGACGUGAAAUCCCCCGGCUUAACCUGGGAACUGCGUCUGAUACUGGGAGGCUAGAGUAUGGGAGAGGGAUGUAGAAUUCCAGGUGUAGCGGUGAAAUGCGUAGAUAUCUGGAGGAAUACCGGUGGCGAAGGCGGCAUCCUGGACCAUUACUGACGCUGAGGCGCGAAAGCUAGGGGGAGCAA